rnacentral:rRNA from 1 species
GACGAACGCUGGCGGCGUGCUUAACACAUGCAAGUCGAACGGAAAGGCCCUGCUUUUGUGGGGUGCUCGAGUGGCGAACGGGUGAGUAACACGUGAGUAACCUGCCCUUGACUUUGGGAUAACUUCAGGAAACUGGGGCUAAUACCGGAUAGGAGCUCCUGCCGCAUGGUGGGGGUUGGAAAGUUUCGGCGGUUGGGGAUGGACUCGCGGCUUAUCAGCUUGUUGGUGGGGUAGUGGCUUACCAAGGCUUUGACGGGUAGCCGGCCUGAGAGGGUGACCGGCCACAUUGGGACUGAGAUACGGCCCAGACUCCUACGGGAGGCAGCAGUGGGGAAUAUUGCACAAUGGGCGGAAGCCUGAUGCAGCAACGCCGCGUGCGGGAUGACGGCCUUCGGGUUGCAAACCGCUUUCGCCUGUGACGAAGCGUGAGUGACGGUAAUGGGUAAAGAAGCACCGGCUAACUACGUG